rnacentral:tRNA from 1 species
GGCAGUAGCUCAGUUGGUAGAGCAUCGGCUUCCCAAGCCGAGGGUCGCGGGUUCGAGUCCCGUUUGCC